ACCAGGUGUGGUGGUGCAUGCCUGUAAUCCCAGCGGCUCAGGAGGCUAAGACAGGAGGAUCAAGAGUUCAAAGCGAGCCUCAGCAAUGGCAAGGGGCUAAGUAACUCAGUGAGACCCUGUCUCUA
rnacentral:sRNA from 1 species